GUUAUACCUUCCAUUGUUACAAUAAGAAUAUGACCAGAGGUGGUAGUAUAAACCUGUGGUUUACGUUGCAAUUUCAUUUCAAAGUUAUAGUUUUGAUUUUGUGAGAGCUUAAGUGAAACUUUGCUUGAACGUUUGUGUUGGUGUUGUUCUCCUGGACGUGGUUCUGAGAGUCACAAAGACUGAGGUUCUGUACUGAGCCAACUUUCUGCGAGAAGCUGGUGGUAUCAGCAGGAGAUGGUUCCCAGCAUACAGUGCAAAAGAGGACAAGGCCUGCUGGGAGACUUCACCUCCAGUGAAGUGAGCACAGAGCUGCCAUUUCGUCUCAUGCACCC
rnacentral:lncRNA from 1 species